GUUUAGAUAGCUCAGUGGUAGAGCAAGAGACUGAAAAUCUUUUGGUCAAUGGUUCAAUUCCAUUUCUAAACA
rnacentral:tRNA from 1 species